UACGUAGGGGGCUAGCGUUGUCCGGAAUCAUUGGGCGUAAAGAGCGUGUAGGCGGCCCGGUAAGUCCGCUGUGAAAGUCGGGGGCUCAACCCUCGAAUGCCGGUGGAUACUGUCGGGCUAGAGUGCGGAAGAGGAGAGUGGAAUUCCCGGUGUAGCGGUGAAAUGCGCAGAUAUCGGGAAGAACACCCGUGGCGAAGGCGGCUCUCUGGGACGGUACUGACGCUGAGACGCGAAAGCGUGGGGAGCGAACAGG
rnacentral:rRNA from 1 species